GGCGGCAUCGAGGUCCUGCUCUUUCUUGUAGUUGAAUGCCUCAUCGAAGCCAAACUUGGUUUUCAGAAGGUUAACCUGAAGAAUACGAGGUAAUCAAUCAAUGGAUGACGCCGUACUACUAUAAUGGCAAUGUUGUAUACCUAUGAUUAUUUAUUGAUAUGAUACAAAUGAACGAAUGAAGGCGACUACAAGCUGCCCAUGAGCUUGAGCAAAACUGUACAUGCCCUUGAGCAAGAGAGCCACUCAUUAGCAAAUGGCAAAGGAAAAAUACGAUUUCACAAACCUUCUCGUCAGAACCAGCACUGCCAACCACAUAACAGCCCGUGAGCUUAGC
rnacentral:lncRNA from 1 species